rnacentral:rRNA from 1 species
UACGUAGGGUGCAGGCGUUAAUCGGAAUUACUGGGCGUAAAGCGUGCGCAGGCGGUUUUGUAAGCCAGAUGUGAAAUCCCCGGGCUUAACCUGGGAAUGGCAUUUGGGACUGCAAGGCUUGAGUGCGGCAGAGGAGACUGGAAUUCCUGGUGUAGCAGUGAAAUGCGUAGAUAUCAUGAGGAAUACCAGAGGCGAAGGCGGCUACCUGGACAAUUGCUGACGCUCAGGCACGAAAGCGUGGGGAGCAAAAGGG